UACGAAGGGGGCUAGCGUUGCUCGGAAUCACUGGGCGUAAAGCGCACGUAGGCGGACUCUUAAGUCAGGGGUGAAAUCCUGGAGCUCAACUCCAGAACUGCCUUUGAUACUGGGAGUCUUGAGUUCGGGAGAGGUGAGUGGAACUGCGAGUGUAGAGGUGAAAUUCGUAGAUAUUCGCAAGAACACCAGUGGCGAAGGCGGCUCACUGGCCCGAUACUGACGCUGAGGUGCGAAAGCGUGGGGAG
rnacentral:rRNA from 1 species